AUGGAUUUAGAACCUGCUCCAGAAAGAAAACAAACUCCCUUGCUUGACACACAAAUUGUUUACGAUUCAUUAAAAAGCAAAAUUGCAUAUCCCAGUGCUGGCAGCUGAGUCCAUAUGGGUGCAAGGGGUAUUCACUCAUCUCUUUGUAUGCUGGCAGUACCAAACCGAAGUUUAGCACUGUGCAGCUGAGAUUUUGUGCAGCCAGACGAUGCAUGAGUUGCAAUUGCUCAGAACCUUUUCAGCCGAUUGCACCAGUGUGACUUUAGAUCUGUUCCUAAUCUGGAAGGCAUUUUCCUUGGGAAGCCUGAACUUAGAUGAGCUACGAAGAGGAUUUCCUUAUCUCGAACAGUGACAAUUAGUUCAAGUGCCAUGUGAGAGCCGGCAGUUGAUUUUUGGACAGCCUCUGAACUGAUGCAAAGUUGCUGACAACGAGUGUGUUCUAGCUUUUGGAAAUCCUAUAAUCCUGGCUUCAAUCAAGAGGAUCUGCUGUUGCUGAAGGCGUAAACAAGGAGAGAAGCAGCAUGUGACCACGGCUGCUGCACCUUCAAGGACUCCCGAGCCAAAACGAGCGCAAUGGUAAAGCUUCUACUGGUUGCUCAACGUUACACAUAUAUUUCAGAUGAUUUUCCUGAACCCAGGGAAAAUAGUUCUUUCCCCUCUGCAGGAAAAGUUGUUUUUGGACUCUGCAUUUCCCCCUGUAGCUCCGUUGUGUGUGUUUCUCCCCGCUCCCUUCUCACUCUUCUGAUUUUCUUCCUACCAUCUGUAUUCCCCUUUUGCCUCAUCUGAAACAAGCAUCAAGAUCUUGUUUCUGACAGAACGGUCUGUCAAUAUGGAAACACACUGACAUCACAGACAGUGCUGUGACUUCAUGUCUGAAAGAAACAGGAGGAACAGAUGAAAGGAGUGAAGGAAAAGGAAUGACACAUACAAACAUUUUUAAAAAAUAAGUAAAAAUUCUUCUCUAUCAAUCCAAAAUGUAAAGGAACAUAAACCAGAUUUAUUUUUAAGUCUAAAUAUAACCCACUAUUUCCUAAUCUGUGACCAUAACUCAGUACAACAUUUCAACAUGCUUUUCACCUGAGAGAGGUUCCUGUCCCCAAGGAGCACGUGCUUGGCUGGUUCAAGGCCCAUGUGACAGCCAACAUGACCUCGAGAAGGACUGAACAGGGACUAAUCUGGAAAAAGCUAAUAUCAAGCAUAUAUUGGAAGAAAUCUUUAGAGACAAGAGAGGAAUCCUGCCCUGGACUAAUCUAUACCAUCUAAGUAAAUGCAAAUUCACAGAAUUAUAAAUAAAAGCAUUUAUCAAAAUUACAAGCUCUAUUUGGAUGCAGCUGGAUAUCACUGCCCGCUGGGGUGGGGAUACAGGAUAUACCCAGAAAAUACUGAGCACACAGGGGUGGAACAUCACCUUACUAUUACUAUUUUUUUUCUUCCUGGUACGAAAUCUUAACAAAAAUAUCUAACCAAUAUUUCUAUUACUAGCAGGGUUUUUUGCAUAAGAAUUUAGGAGCAGUUAGAACCCCACAUUUCCCUUACUAUUUGAAAUAUGUAUUUACUAUUUGAAGUAUAUAUUUGGGCUCCAACAUUAGAGGGAAUUCAGAAGAUUUUGCUUUCCUGCCAUCUCCAGAGCCACUACAAACCUCUAAUAAGGAGAUUCAUAACUAGUAGGAGAGGAGCUCAAGAAAACUAAAAGGUUAAUAUAUUCUAACUAGAUGUUGGGUAUAGAAUGUCAGAUCUGUCAAAUUUCAUUACAGUUUGCUGCUCAAUGAAAAAGAUUUGAUUUCUUUUGCCACUGUCCUACUAUGUUCAAGUCACACAGUGCCAGCAGCAACCAGCCAACGACCACAGGCUGGCACUGAGCGGGCCCGAGUGGGAAGCCAGCCGCAAGGACCAUCUGUUUCCGAUUUCUAGCGAAGCCAAGAUGUGCAGUGAAGUGCAUUCCAUUCACCCAGCCAGCCUUCUCCCUGCUCAAGUUAUUAGUGUUACAAGUGAAAUUAUCUUUUCCAAACAGCGGGGGAGCUAUAAUCCUUAUGGAACAAGGCUUUAAAAAAAGGGAAAAAAAGAGAAGGGGGAAAAAAAAAAAAGAAAAAAGGACAGGAAAAAGGUCCCCCAACACACCCCCCCUUCAAACAUCUUUUGUCAAAGUUGUCGAUGACACUGUUUGUAAAUUCAAUUGCCAUGUUCACGGGUUUUAUAAUUUUAAAGGAUGUUCUAUUAAGAACUAUAUUCUCUAAGGGAAGAAUGUGUACAUCGGUUCAUGGGCUCUAAUGUAAUAAACCAUUCAAAUAUAUUUAGAGGGUUAUUUAUGAAUAAAGUUAAAAAUGACAAGAUGAA